UAUUGUUGUUCCAAUAGGGUCGGAAGCGUGUAAAUUAUUGUACUAAAAAAUCACACAAAGUUCAAUUCCCAGGGAAGAGAGGUGGAUCACAUGGAUCUCUUAAAUACCAAGUCUUUCCUUAGACAGAAUAUCCCUUCUAUAGUAAUUUAAUAGCACAAUUAAAUACUACUAUUAUACCCUCAAAUAUUGAAAGAAAAAUAGGACAAGAAAGAACACAAGAGUUUUAACGAGGUUCGGUAAAUUAUACCUACGUCCUCGGGCUACUAAAACCAGAUGAUAACUUUACUAUCUCCAAAAUAUUACAAACAAAUAGAAUUCCUUAAGAAUUCUCAAAUGGGAGAAAAAGAAAACUAAGAGAGAAAGAUUGGUUGGGAUGAAUUGAAAUGAGAAAUGAGAAGGCCUAUUUAUAGUUGAGGUUUAAGGACCAAACAAUAAAUAGCCCAUUAUCUCAAGGACCAAAAAAAAUUAUCCCAUGCCACUUUUAUAAAGUCAACUUUAGGGUGCUAAACUUGCACCACUUGGAUUGUUUUCCAUUAAAAUUGUCUGCCAUUAAUCAUAAUGUUAACAAUCUCCACCUUGAAGAUUUGAUUAGGAUAAUCACAUCUUCACACACUUCCUUCAACUCCCCAAAUUCGAUAAAGCUAUCUUUUGUAGUGCCUCUAAAUGCGCUCUCGAGCGCCAUACACCUAAAGGUGCUCAAAUUCUCAGGAUGUUAAUCAAGUUCAAACAAUGAUUAAACUUGAUUGUUGUUACCACCUUGGUCAUCAUAUCUGCGGGAUUAUCUGCUGUCGGAAUCUUCUGAAGUAGAAUUUUUCCUUUUUCAAAGACUUCUCGCACAAAGUGAUAUCUUACGUCGAUAUGCUUGGUUCUUGAAUGAUAGACUUGAUUUUUCGCUAAAUGAAUAGCGCUCUGACUGUCACAAUAUAAACUUAUGUGACUUUGAACAACUCCUAAGUCUUUCAACAAUCCAUUAAGCCAAAUAGCCUCCUUAACAGCUUCUGUAACUGCCAUAUAUUCUGCCUCUGUAGUAGACACAGCUACUGUAGACUGUAAGGUAGACUUCCAACUCACUGGGGCUUUCGCAAGAGUAAACAGAUACCCCGUAGUUGAACGACGUUUAUCUAAAUCACCAGCAAAGUCGGAAUCAACAUAUCCAACUACAAACUGACCAAGUGCUUCAUCCUGUUCAAAAAUUAAACCAACAUCUACGGUUUUUCGAAGAUACCGUAGAAUCCAUUUCACAGCUUGCCAAUGUCCUUUUCCAGGAUCAUGCAUAUACCUGCUCACAACUCCAACAGCUUGUGAAAUGUCAGGCCUCGUACACACCAUCGCAUACAUCAAACUCCCAACUGCAUUAGCAUAUGGGACUUUCGCCAUAUAUUCUCUUUCAUCUUCAGUCUUCGGAGAUAAUUGAGCACUAAGUUUCAAAUGAGAAGCAAGUGGGGUACUUACAUGUUUUGUGUUUUCAUUUACACCAAAACAUUGUAAUACCUUUUUCAGAUAUUGCUUCUGAUUCAAACAAAGCUUGCCUCUCGGUCUAUCUCUACUUAUCUCCAUGCCGAGAAUCUUCUUGGCCUCACCUAGAUCUUUCAUCUCGAACUCUUGAUUCAACUGAGCCUUCAGCUUAUCUAUCUCAUUUUGGCUCUUCGAAGCGAUUAACAUAUCAUCAACAUACAAGAGUAGAUAAAUGAAAGAUCCGUCAUGCAGCUUCUGCAAAUAUACACAAUUGUCAUAUUUGCUUCUUAUGUACUUCUGCCUUCUCAUAAAGCUAUCAAAUCGCUUGUACCACUGCCUCGGGGAUUGCUUCAAUCCAUAUAGCGAUUUGUUCAGCUUACAAACCCAAUUUCUACCACCAGUAUCUGUGUAUCCUUCGGGCUGAGUCAUAUAGAUCUCCUCUUCUAACUCACAAUGCAAGAAAGCCGUCUUAACAUCAAGUUGAGCUAGCUCCAAAUUCAACUGUGCUACCAAGGCCAACAAAAUUCUAAUGGAGGAAUGCUUCACAACAGGGGAAAAUACAUCAUUGUAGUCAAUUCCCUCCUUCUGAGCGUAGCCUUUAGCUACCAAUCUUGCCUUGUAGCGAAUAUCCUUCUUGCUAGGAGAUCCAUCUUUCUUUGCGAAUACCCACUUGCAUCCGAUUGCCCUUUUACCUUUUCGGUAAUUGCACCAACUCCCAAGUAUUGUUCUUCCGGAGAGACUGCAUUUCUUCAUCCAUGGCGCUUUUCCAUUUAUCACUUUCUAAGCUUUGCAUUGCUUCUUGAUAAGUGAUAGGAAUAUCAUCAACAACGGGAAGGGCGUAGGCCACCAUAUCAGUAAAUCGAGCAGGUUUACGAAUUUCUCUCCGUGGCCUUGCAACUGCAACUGGUUCUGGUGUACUUAGUGGUUCUUGGGUCAGAACCUCUUCAACCUCUAAUUCCUCCAUUGUGGCUGGAGAAUUAGACUUAUUAACUGGGCAAAUCCCCAUCUGCUCAAACUCCACCUGUUUUGGAGUACACUCCACCUGCUGUGGAGUAUUGCUCGUCUGAAUAUCUUUAUCUGCUACCUUUUUCAAUGUGGCAGAUUCAUCAAAGGUAACAUCUCUGCUACAGAUCAUUUUCUUUGUGCUUAAGCACCAAAGACGAAAUCCCUUCACUCCAGAAGUGAUUCCCAUAAAGAGAGCUUUCUUUGCCCUCGGAUCUAACUUUGACUCCUUCACAUGGUAAUAUGCAGUGGAUUCAAACACAUGUAAGGAAUCAUAAUCUGUAGCCGGUUUUCCAGACCAUACCUCCAUAGGAGUUUUUCUUUCUAAUGCAGAUGAUGGCAAACGAUUAACAAGAUGGCCAGCGUAUGUCACAGCCUCAGCCCAAAAUUGCUUGCCCAACCCAGCAUUGGACAACAUACAUCGAACUUUCUCCAGCAAUGUUCGAUUCAUACGCUCUGCCAAUCCAUUCUGCUGUGGUGUAUCCCUAACUGUGAAGUGUCGAACAAUACAAUACUCUUGGCACACAUCGAAGAACGGAUCACUUUUAUAUUCCCCUCCAUUGUCCGUCCUAAGCCGCUUGAUUUUCUUGCCAGUCUGGUUUUCGAUCAUAGUUUUCCAUUUAAGAAAAACUCUAAGCACUUCAUCCUUAGUUCUCAUGGUAUACACCCAAACUCUUCUGGAAAAGUCAUCAACAAAAGUAACAAAGUAGUGUUUUCCUCCCAAUGAAGGUGUCUUGGAAGGCCCCCACACAUCUGAGUGAACAUAUUCCAAAAUACCUUUUGUAUUAUGGAUAGCAGUACCGAAUUUCACUCUCUUUUGCUUUCCCAGAACACAAUGCUUGCAAAAUUUUAAUUUGCAAGCCUUUGCACCUUUCAACAAUCCUUGCUUUGUCAGAAUUUGCAAGGAUUUUUCGCUGGCAUGUUCCAACUUCAUAUGCCACAACUGUAUUGAGUCCAAUUCUUUGUUGCCGGAAGCUGCAGCGACUGCUCCAAUAACUGUACUACCUUGGUAGUAAUACAAGUUAUUUUUCCUGAUGCCCUUCAAUAUCACAAGUGCGCCAGAUGUCACUUUCAAAACCCCAUCUCUCAUAGUAACAACUGAACCAUUGGAUUCCAAGGCUCCCAAUGAGAUGAGAUUUUUCUUCAAACUGGGCACGUACCGAACAUCAGUCAGAACUCUAGUUGAUCCAUCUUUAUUCUUUAAUUGGAUUGAACCUAUCCCAACAGUUUUACAGGCAUUGUCAUUGCCCAUAUAAAUAACUCCUCCAUUUAGUUCUACUAAAUCAGAGAACCACUCCCGGUUAGGGGACAUAUGAUAGGUACAACCCGAAUCCAAUAUCCACUCAUCUGAAUGGAACGACGAUGAUGAUGCAACCAGUGAUAGUUCAGAGUCACUAGUAUCAUGCUUAGCAACACAAGCAUCUACAGCAGCUUUUCCCUUAUUCUUCAGCUUUGGACAAUUUUUCUUCCAGUGGCCUUUCUCAUGACAAAAAGCACAUUCAUCUUUCCCGAGUUUGGACUUUGACUUUGAUCUCCCCUUUUGAGUUUUCUUCCGAGUGUAUGAACGACCUCGGACUACUAAAGCUUCUGUAUCUCUGAUUGAGUUUUUCUGUUUGUCCUUCUUUCUCUGUUCAUAACUGUAUAAGGCCGCACAGACUUCGCUCGGAGAUAUAUCACUCCUGCCAUGAAGUAGAGUAGUUUCUAGGAACUCAAACUCCUCAGGAAGUGACCCCAACAGCAUCAAAGCCAAAUCUUCAUCUUUGAAUGUCUCAUCCAUAUUCAGCAAAUCAGUGACUAACUGAUUAAAUUUGGUGAUGUGAUCAUUCAUUGUGGUACUUGGGACGUAUGUGAAGCGAAACAGUCUUUUCUUCAAGUGGAGCUUAUUUUGACUGUUUUUCUUCAAAAAAUUUUCUUCAAGUGCCACCCAUAACUUAUUUGCAGAAGUCUCCUUUGAAAAAGCAUACCUCUGCUCUCGAGAAAGGCAUGAUCGAAUUGUGCCACAUGCCAACCGAUUGAUCGCCUUCCAAUCUUUCUCCUGUACAUCAUCUGGUUUCUCUUCAUCAAUGGCAAUGUCUAGACCCUGCUGAAAAAGGGCAUCUAGAACCUCACUUUGCCACAUACCAAAAUGGCCCGUGCCAUCAAAGAUCUCCACGGCCAGUCUUGCAUUUGCAAUUGUCGGUCUUGUCCACAUGGACGAUGUUGAAGCUCCUACACCGACCGUUUUCUCCAUAAUCUUUCAAUAUACCUAAGGAAAUCUUUUCUGAUGUGGAAGAUCAGUUCAAACUGCAACCACAGAGCAUACUACGAUUAACCUUCGGCUCUUGAUACCACUUGUUGUUCCAAUAGGGUCGGAAGCGUGUAAAUUAUUGUACUAAAAAAUCACACAAAGUUCAAUUCCCAGGGAAGAGAGGUGGAUCACAUGGAUCUCUUAAAUACCAAGUCUUUCCUUAGACAGAAUAUCUCUUCUAUAGUAAUUUAAUAGCACAAUUAAAUACUACUAUUAUACCCUCAAAUAUUGAAAGAAAAAUAGGACAAGAAAGAACACAAGAGUUUUAACGAGGUUCGGUAAAUUAUACCUACGUCCUCGGGCUACUAAAACCAGAUGAUAACUUUACUAUCUCCAAAAUAUUACAAACAAAUAGAA
rnacentral:lncRNA from 1 species